UGCAUUUUAUCUUUAAUCCAGUACGAAACUAUCGAUGGCGUAAAACGCCUACGCCAAAAACGAAUUUAUUAAUUUAUAUGUAGCAGGUCUACCCACUAUAAAAAUAGAAGAAGAACGUAUACAAGAAGUUCGAGUGCCAGAAUGCAUAGAGGCGGUAGGAGAUGAAACAACUUUUGAGGUAAAUUUUGACGACGAUAACAAUGCAGAAACAACAUCAAUACAAAAUCCUUCAUCAUCAUCUAUUAAGGGGGGAAUAAAUUUAUAUAAAAUUAUUUCAGAUCAACCCUUCGUUAAGCCUUCACCUAGAUCGUGGAAAAACAUACGCGGUUUUAAAGAACCUCGUCUCCUAACUGAUAAAGACGAUAUUAAUCUUGACUCUAAGAAGAAAAAAUGUACUGCAUUGUUAGAUGACCCUUUAGAUGAAAAUACCUCUUCCAGCAAAAAUGAUUCUUUUGAACAGUGGGCAAAUAAAAAAAAACAAUUAUUGGAAUUGGAAGUUCUGGAAAUGCGUAACUAUAAAAUUAAAUUAGAACUGUGGGAAAAGGAACAUCAGUUAAACGUGAAAUCUUCGAAAUUCACCAGAGGUAUUGAAAUGACACGACAAUAGAUCCCAAAACUGAUGGGGACAUAAUUAAUUUUUUAAACAUAAACCAGCAUUUUUAAUUGCGAUUUAUACAUAUAUUAUUACAUAGGUGUAAGAAGAGAAAGCUCUGUUGCUUUUAUUACGAAUUUGACUUUCAUUUGAUUUAGUUUUAACUGACGUAAGCAGCAGACUUACAUUUUUGUAUUAAGCCGUGCGCCCACUAGCAAGUCACUUGCGGAAGAACUUCUGCAAGUAUUUGCUGAAGUGUUUCCACUCAAACCGAAACUUGGUAGUGGACACCAACAAACGUUACUCGCAUUGUGAUUGCUACUUAAGUAUACGUUUUUGUACUUUAACUUAUUUUUUUUAAUAUUGCUUAAACUAUUCAAAAUCUUCAAAAAAAAAAUAAAUGAAAGCUUUUAUUAGCCAU